UACGAAGGGUGCAAGCGUUACUCGGAAUUACUGGGCGUAAAGCGUGCGUAGGUGGUUUGUUAAGUCUGAUGUGAAAGCCCUGGGCUCAACCUGGGAACGGCAUUGGAAACUGGCUUACUAGAGUGCGGUAGAGGGGUGUGGAAUUCCCGGUGUAGCAGUGAAAUGCGUAGAUAUCUGGAGGAACACCGGUGGCGAAGGCGGCAUCCUGGACCAAUAUUGACGCUGAGGAGCGAAAGCUAGGGGAGCAAACGGG
rnacentral:rRNA from 1 species